rnacentral:rRNA from 1 species
AGCUCCAAUAGCGUAUAUUAAAGUUGCUGCAGUUAAAAAGCUCGUAGUUGGAUUUCUGGCUUGAUAUAUUUUGCCGGCCACGGUUUCGUGUGUUAGUGCUUGAUAUUCUGGCCAUCCUUCCAAUGGCUAUUCAUCCUUCUUCAUUGAAGGUGUGAGUGGUAUUGGAUCUUUUACUUUGAAAAAAUUAGAGUGUUUCAAGCAGGCUUUAUGCUAUGAAUACAUUAGCAUGGAAUAAUAAUUUAGGACUUCGGUUCUAUUUUGUUGGUUUCUAGGACUGAAGUAAUGAUUGAUAGGGACAGUUGGGGGUGCUAGUAUUCCGCGGCCAGAGGUGAAAUUCUUGGAUUCGCGGAAGACUAACUACUGCGAAAGCAUUCACCAAGGAUGUCUUCU